rnacentral:rRNA from 1 species
AUGUCUUCCUCCUCCGGCGUCUCUCCCCCUAGCCUCAAUGGACAGGUCAUUGAGAAACUCUCCCGCACGAACUACGUGCUAUGGCGCGCACAGAUCACUCCACAGCUGCGUGGUGCCGGUGUCUUCAGUUAUGUCGAUGGCACCUCGCCGGAGCCAACCAAGCUCCUCGCCGCCAAGGACAAGGACGGCAAGGAGACCUUCGAGCCCAACCCUCUCAACCCCAUCUGGGUCCGGGAGGACCAGCAGGUGCUCGGCUACCUGCUGAGCAACCUCUCCAAGGCGGCGCUCAUCAAGGUGACCACGGUCACCACGGUGCAGGCGCUCUGGACGACGCUGGCAGGCAUGUACUCGUCGCAGUCGCUGAGCCGUGUCAACAACAUCCGUACCUCGCUCAUCAAUGUGCAGAAGGGCAAACAGUCCGCCGCCGCCUACUUCGCCUCCAUGCGCGGUCUCGCGGACGAGCUGGCCGCGGCGGGCAAACCUAUCCAGGAUGACGAACUCAUCUCGUACGUCCUCCACGGGCUGGAUCUGGAGUACCAGCCCCUCGUCUCCGCCCUCGACGCCCGUGUCGGCCCCGCCUUCCUCGACGAAAUCUUGUCCAUGCUUAGCAACUUUGACCAGCACAUGGCG